UACGUAGGGGGCGAGCGUUGUCCGGAUUUAUUGGGCGUAAAGGGCUCGUAGGCGGUUUGUCGCGUCGGGAGUGAAAUCCACUGGCUUAACUGGUGGCUUGCUUUCGAUACGGGCAGACUGGAGGUAUGCAGGGGAGAACGGAAUUCCUGGUGUAGCGGUGAAAUGCGCAGAUAUCAGGAGGAACACCGGUGGCGAAGGCGGGUCUCUGGGCCGAUACUGACGCUGAGGAGCGAAAGCGUGGGGAGCGAACAGG
rnacentral:rRNA from 1 species